GGAAAUCUAAUCUUCAGUUAUCUCUCUAGUUCUCCUCUUCUGGUAACCUCAUAAGGAUAAAAAUAUCAACUAUGUUUCUAGGCAACACUGCUUACGAUAAAAAUGACCCUUAAGUGGCAAAUUACAUCUGGACUGAGAAUAAUUUUGGAUGAACUAUAAAUAUAUGAUGGAGACAGCAUGGCUUUGGGAUUCCCCUGUAACAGUCAUGUUCCCUGUGGGAACCCUGGAAGCUAUGGCUAUGGAGUUAUUCCAAGAGAUAUUGCUCUCAUGGGGCAGCAGGCAUUUGAGCCAAGUUAUCUGCUAUGCUUUCUCAAUUUGAGUCUUGUUUCCUUGCACCUGUAGCUCUCACAUAGGCAGACUAGAGCUCCUGGCCAGCCUUAUGAAUGCUUCAUGGACUUCUGCAAGGACUACUCCUUUAGGGAGGAAAGCCAGAUGCUGUCCUGGGGCAAGCUGUGAUUGCUGCUCUAUAUCUCUCUAGGUAUACUCACUAUGGCCAAGGUAGUCUCGUGAGUCUGGGCAUUUGGAAGAACCUAACAGAAACAUCCUAGUGAGCAUUGCACUAUGGUAGAUGGACAUUCCUGCCUUUUAACCUGUGGAAUGUGCUGCAUCGUCCUUCCUCUCCCUGUUUGCCUUCUCCUUCCUGCCAUGCUCUUACUUUAUGCUUCUUUGUCUUUAUCACUUCUAGCAUAUUUCUUUAUUUUGCUUGAUAUUUUUUCCCCUUUUCCCUUUGCCUUUCUCCCCAAUCCUGACAUAGCUUUUACCUAGUCUUUUUUCCCCUUCCUUUUUCUUAUCCUUCACUGUUUUUUCCUUAAUCUCUUACUCUGGGAUUGACAAUUGUGAUUCAAAAACUGACUUAUCCUGGCCAGGUGGGCAGAAUGAGACAAACAUGUAGUUGCAACUGACUCAAGGUCCUCAUAUCAAGACGUCAUGUCUCUCUGGCUCUUCAUCAGCUAAUACCUUCCUAUAUUCAGGCUCUUCAUUCAUACAUUAUUUGGAAGCUUAUCUUAGGUGGAAGUACGAUUAUACAUUGGCCAGGACAGAGCCAAGGCAGAGUGACUUCCUACAGAGUGGGGCUCCACUGCAGCAUGUUAGCUAAGCCUUUCUCUCCUCAUUAAGCCACAAGAGAAAGCUUCUUAAUGUAGUUAAGUGGUUUUCCUCGAAAGAAAAGAACUGGGAUUAAUACUCUUUUACAUUAACCUCUCUUGCUUCAGCAGAGAAGGGAAUUAAGAAGUCUAUCUUAUCAAUGGAACUGAAACUUUUCAAAACAAUUGCUUAUAUGACUGAUAUAAAUUAUAUCAAAGUUUGAAUAUAAAAACAUAUGCAAG
rnacentral:lncRNA from 10 species